rnacentral:rRNA from 1 species
UACGUAGGGUGCAAGCGUUUGUCCGGAAUAUUGGGCGUAAAGAGCUUGUAGGCGGUUUGUCGCGUCUGCUGUGAAAUUUCGGGGCUCAACCCCGAACUUGCAGUGGGUACGGGCAGACUAGAGUGUGGUAGGGGAGACUGGAAUUCCUGGUGUAGCGGUGGAAUGCGCAGAUAUCAGGAGGAACACCGGUGGCGAAGGCGGGUCUCUGGGCCGAUACUGACGCUGAGGAGCGAAAGCGUGGGGAGCGAACAGG